rnacentral:lncRNA from 1 species
UUCCUAGAGCAUCUUUCUUCUGACGAAACUUGUUGGAAAGUUUUCCAACAAUCUUCAAGAACAACGAUUUGUUCAUCCUAAAACGGCGUCAGAAUAAAUUUGCGGGGUAUGUUGACGGCUCACUAAAGUAGUCGUUCCAUAAACGAUUAUGGCCUUCUUCACGUUGUCUUUCAAUAUAAGCUCGUUUCUUUCUUGUUCUCGGUUCCUCCAUUUGUUGUUCAUACAAAACGCAGAGAUUUUCUUAUGUUUGAUCAA